rnacentral:rRNA from 1 species
CAGUCGCCGCGGGAAUACGAAGGGGGCUAGCGUUGUUCGGAUUUACUGGGCGUAAAGGGUGCGUAGGCGGAUUGUUAAGUCAGGGGUGAAAUCCCGAGGCUCAACCUCGGAACUGCCUUUGAUACUGGCGAUCUUGAGUCCGGGAGAGGUGAGUGGAACUGCGAGUGUAGAGGUGAAAUUCGUAGAUAUUCGCAAGAACACCGGUGGCGAAGGCGGCUCACUGGCCCGGCACUGACGCUGAGGCACGAAAGCGUGGGGAGCAAACAGGAUUAGAGACCCGCGUAGUCCCUGUCUCUUAUAC